ACGGCUCGGAUUAUUCUCGGUGUUCUUCACUCUGCUCGUCUUUAUCCAAAUUCAACUCAAAUUUCGUUCAAUUCCUUCAUUUCCCGCCUCUUUUGAUGGACUAAGCUCGGUCCUCGGGUAUGGAAAUGAACAGGGUUUUACUGGAUUUUCAAGAUGCCAUUUCCACAAUUCAAUUCGCUCCCCAUUCAAAUAAUCUCAUUGUUUCCUCCUGGGACUCUAGUCUUCGCUUGUACGAUGUGGAUAGUUCUGCGCUCAGACUUGAAGCUCCCUCCGAAGCUGCGCUUCUGGAUUGUUGCUUCCAGGACGAGUCGGUGGCAUUCAGCGCUGGUUCUGAUGGCUUCAUAAGGAGGUAUGACUUGCAAUCAGGAAUUUUGGAUACCAUUGGGAAGCAUGAUGAUAUUGCAACCCAUAUUGGAUAUUCUGGUCGAACAUGCCAAAUAGUAUCAGCUGGUUUGGAUGGAAAGAUACUGUUGUGGGACACACGUACAGUAAAAGCUCUGUCAAUUGUAAGAAAUAUGGGUUCAGAUGUGGUGUCCAUGUCUCUCUCUGGAUUUAAUUUGAUUGUGGCUACUGGAGUGUGUGUAUAUUCAUUCGACUUACGUAGCCUAGAGAAACCAAUUCAACUGAAAGAUUCUUGUAUGAAAGUUCCAGUUGCUUGUGUUAGCUCAGUUCCUUAUUGCGAAGGACAUGCAGUUGGAUCAGUGGAUGGACGUGUAGCUUUAGAGAUUUCUUGUCUGGACCGAGCAGAUGACAUUAGAUAUAUUUUCUGGUGUCACCCAAAGUCAAAGGCUAGAAGAAACCAUUUGGAGUCUGUGAAUGCUAUUGCGUUUAAUCCAAUACACCACGGUGCUUUUGCUACGGGUGAUAAUGAAGGCUUUGUCAGUAUGUGGGAUUUCCACAGCAAGAGAAGACUACUUGAGUUGCCUAGAUUUCCAAAUAGUGUGGCUUCCUUAUCUUACAACUGCGGAGGCGAACUUUUGGCUGUUGCUUCAAGUUGUACGUUUCAAGAAGCAAAAGAAAGCUACAUAUGUAGAUUAUGGCGGGUAUUGAGGCUGAUGUUGGCAUGUUUUGCAUGUCUGCCGACCACUCAAUACCUACUACAAGUACAACUACAACUAGUCAACCAUCUAUUAAAUAAUCGAUCGUCAUAAGAAGAGUAUACCUUUCUGCCGAAUUAUUAUAGAAGAUCCUCCUCAAGUUUUCUUACACGUAAUGGAGCACAACAAUAUCGCCUCCCAGUAAAGAAGGCGUUGUAUUACUAUUUUCCAAUACCAUAUGGGCCUCAAAAGUUGGUGCAUUAAUACUUAGAAAGUCGAGGAAAGAGCUCCACAAGCCAAGUGUUGUAUUGUAUCAAUUUGAUGUUAGUGUAUUAUUUUCUAUUUUUAAUUUUUUUUUUCCCUUUUCUACUACAUACAUUCCUUCUCUCCACAGCCAAUUUAUAGUGUGAUAAUUUUCAUAUUAGGCGUUAAUUUAGUUAAUUUGUAGUG